rnacentral:rRNA from 1 species
GAUUAAGUUAUUAAGGGCGCACGGUGGAUGCCUUGGCACUAGAAGCCGAUGAAGGACGUUACUAACGACGAUAUGCUUUGGGGAGCUGUAAGUAAGCUUUGAUCCAGAGAUUUCCGAAUGGGGAAACCCAGCAUGAGUUAUGUCAUGUUAUCGAUAUGUGAAUACAUAGCAUAUCAGAAGGCACACCCGGAGAACUGAAACAUCUUAGUACCCGGAGGAAGAGAAAGAAAAUUCGAUUCCCUUAGUAGCGGCGAGCGAAACGGGAAGAGCCCAAACCAACAAGCUUGCUUGUUGGGGUUGUAGGACACUCUAUACGGAGUUACAAAGGACGACAUUAGACGAAUCAUCUGGAAAGAUGAAUCAAAGAAGGUAAUAAUCCUGUAGUCGAAAAUGUUGUCUCUCUUGAGUGGAUCCUGAGUACGACGGAGCACGUGAAAUUCCGUCGGAAUCUGGGAGGACCAUCUCCUAAGGCUAA